GUCUACAGCCAUGCCACCCUGAACAAGCCCGAUGUCUGAUCUCAGAAGCUAAGCAGGGUCGGGCCUGGUUAGUACUUGGAUGGGAGACCACCUAGGAAGACCAGGUGCUGUAGGCA
rnacentral:rRNA from 1 species